UUAUUGAUCCUAAAGAACUAGCCUAUCCUGUGAAUACACCAAGAGAAAGGACAGUGUAUAGUGUAAAAGAUAUACUUUCUGCUAUUGACAAGAGAGAAGAGUUUUUAGUAAAGUGUGAUGGUACUAAAGGUGAAAAGGUGAAGGAGAUCCUACCUGAAGAAUCAUUAUCAGAUAUUAGUAACCUGUCACUAUUAGGAGGACGUGAUAUUAAUGGAGAUGGAGGAGUAAAGUGUAAUAAUAAUAAAGAUAAAGGAACAACAACCAACACUUUGAAUGAAUCUCAGGAACAUGGAAGUACUUCAAUAGAGAAAAGACAGUCUGAUAUUGAUGUAGUUAAGAUCAAUGAUGAAGUACAAGAAACACUCACUGAUAAACUGCUUGGUAAGACUAAGAGAGUAUGUAUAAUUAACUAGCUAUUGAUUU